rnacentral:lncRNA from 1 species
ACUAUCUUGAAACGUGUAUUUCCAAACCAAAAGGAGAUUGCAAUAGUGGAAAAGGGGAGAAAACUUGGAUGCCAAUCAAAAGGGAUAGAUAAAUUAUGAUGGAGCUCUGUAUUGUUUUUUAUAAAUCUAUGUAUUCUUCACUGUUAGGCCACAAAGUAGAGCUUUUCUUGACAUCUGAUGGCAGCACAAUAGUAAGCUGCACCGCUUCUGUGGACAUUGCAGAUGAACACAUAAAACCUCUCCCUCAACCAGAUCCUGUACGUGACAAUGAAGAAACACAUGCUCAAGUGCUGAAAAAUAGAUUAGCAAAAAAAAGGUCAGUACCUUAAGCAAGGACCACGAUAGAACAACUUAGCAAAAUGUUCUUCAUCACUCAGUACUGGUAUCGUUGUGGGCAGUAUCAGUCUCACAGUCAUGGUAAGAAUGUAGAUGGUCUGAAAGAC